AGUCUUGUAUUCAUAAAUGAUUUUAAAUUGCAAAUUUAAAGGUAGAAGAUAAAUUCUUAAGGCUU
rnacentral:tRNA from 1 species